CAUGGAGGGGGGUUGGAAUGAGAUGAUCUUCAAGGUCCCUCCCAACCCAAACCAUUCUGUGAUUCCAUGACUCCUGUGACCACACCAAAGGCAGUGAGAACUGUUCCCUCCCCACAUCCUGUGGCUGCGUUUGUGCCUCUGGCAGCCAGACUCCUCGGGAUGUCCCAGCCUGGAGCAGGCAGCAGCAGGACCAGCAGCAGCUCUGCCUUGGCCCAGGGCUGGUUGUGCCCCUGAAGGGGCACCAGGACAUUCACUUGGCUACGGAUGCACGGGCACAUCCCCCAGGCUGUCUGACCCCAGUCAGCUCCUGCAAGGACUGAGAAACGGGUUUAUUUGCUGGCAAACAGAUGUUACCCUCUGGGAAGCAGAGGAGCCCGUGAAGGCUCCCCUGAGAAAAGGAAAGUGACUGACUCAGACUUUCAGGGAGAGGAGGGUUACACUGCCAGACAGAAGAGGAAAUUGGUGCGCUAAAAAAAAAAACUGGUUUAAUUACAUCAGGUGCUAUUUUUAGUAACACAAAAAUAGGAGAACAGACA